rnacentral:rRNA from 1 species
AUGUACAUUCCUACAAAAUAGCAUUAAUGCAUUGGAUCCCAUUAGAACUCCGUAAUUAAGCACGCUUGGGUUAGAGUAGUACUGGGAUGGGUGACCGCAUGAGAAGUCCUAGUAUUUUACAUU